AAGAAAGAAACGUGUAUGGAGAGGUUGGAGAAGAAGGAUAGUUGUAGUACACUUUCUUGGGUGUUUCCAUCUUUUCUCUUUCUCUUCUUCCUUCAUCUUCUCUUUCG
rnacentral:ribozyme from 13 species